GUGCUUGCUUCGGCAGCACAUAUACUAAAAUUGGAACAAUACAGAGAAGAUAAGCAUGGCCCCUGCCCAAAGAUAAUACACAAAUUUGUGAAGCGUAAAUAAAAAAA